rnacentral:tRNA from 1 species
GGCUGUAGCUCAGUGGUGGAGCACUUACCUAGCACGUGUGAGGCACUGGGUUCAAUUCUCAGCGCCA